rnacentral:rRNA from 1 species
UACGUAGGUGGCAAGCGUUGUCCGGAUUUACUGGGCGUAAAGAGCGCGCAGGCGGUCGUUCAAGUCGCGUGUGAAAGCCCCCGGCUCAACUGGGGAGGGUCACGCGAUACUGAUCGACUCGAAGGCAGGAGAGGGUAGUGGAAUUCCCGGUGUAGUGGUGAAAUGCGUAGAUAUCUGGAGGAACACCGGUGGCGAAGGCGGCAUCCUGGACCGAUACUGACGCUGAGGAGCGAAAGCCAGGGGAGCAAACGGG